rnacentral:rRNA from 1 species
UACGUAGGGGGCGAGCGUUGUCCGGAGUUACUGGGCGUAAAGGGCACGCAGGCGGUCGUGUAAGUUUGGGGUUACAGCUCCCGGCUCAACUGGGAGAGCGCCUCGAAGACUGCUCGACUUGAGGGCCAGAGAGGGACACAGAAUUCCGGGUGUAGUGGUGAAAUGCGUAGAUAUCCGGAGGAAUACCAAAGGCGAAGGCAGUGUCCUGGCUGGUUACUGACGCUGAGGUGCGAAAGCUAGGGGAGCGAACGGG